CGCGUAGGCGGCAGGCCAAGCGUGGGGUGAAAGUCCGGGGCUCAACUCCGGAUCGGCCUUGCGGACUGGCCUGCUCGAGCACUGUAGAGGCAGGUGGAAUUCCGGGUGUAGCGGUGGAAUGCGUAGAGAUCCGGAAGAACACCGGUGGCGAAGGCGGCCUGCUGGGCAGUGGCUGACGCUGAGGCGCGACAGCGUGGGGAGCAAACAGGAUUAGAUACCCUGGUAGUCCACGCCGUAAACGAUGGGCACUAGGUGCCGGAGGGAGCGACCCCCUCGGUGCCGGCGCUAACGCAUUAAGUGCCCCGCCUGGGGAGUACGGCCGCAAGGCUGAA
rnacentral:rRNA from 1 species